GUCACGUGGGAGGCCCUUUAAGUUUCCAUAGAGAGGCCUCUCCGGUGUCACAUGAUGGACAUGAUAUAAUGAAACAACAUUGUGGAGAGGAAAGCAUUAGGGGAGCCCACGGCUACAAAAACAAGUGAGUGAGAAGAGGUGGGAGGAAGAGAAACUACGCCACCUCCCCUGCAGCCGAGCUGCACGCAGCAGCAGCCCGCGGGAAGUGGGCGACGCCGGGGGGGAAGGGAGACCCGGUCCCCAGCCCCGGCCCGGGGACCCUGCUGCCCACCGCAAAGAGAACAACUUUUAGCCGGCAGCCUCGGCCAGCACUGCACCUGUCUCCGGAGCCUCCAUCGCUCCUCGUGAUGAUCAAAGGGGCAUUCUAGAAGAAUAUGUUCUACAAAUAUACAUGCGCAUCAUUUCCCCCCUUGCGUCUCGCUCCGGAGGAAGGAAAGAGAAAGGGAUUUAAGCAGCAGCGUGUGUUCAGCCCCAAGGGUGAAAAGAGUUGGGAUAUUUUAUCAUCUGGAGUUUCUCUGCCUCGCUGAUGAUCUAAGCUCAAACCUGCCAGUUUAUGGGAGAUGAUAGAAAGUACCCUCUAACAUCUGAGUUGCAGAAACAUGUGCCUCUAAGAACUCAGGAGGACCUACUUUGUGGGAGCAAAGGUAGUGAGUCAUACCUGCAAGCUUGGAAACGAGAGUUCACUUGUGCCUCUUCAUCCAGUCGGGACAUUUCCUCGGCAACCAUUUAUGCAGCAAUUAAAAGAUGAGGAGUUGAGAGGAGAAAAUGGAAAAAACGGAGGUACUUUUAAUGGAACAGAAUAAACCACUGAACAGGGAAGGAAGAAAGGAUGGAGUUUGAACUGAUUUGCCGGGAAUCAUGUUCAGAAUGGAUCCAGGAUAUUGAGGUGUAAAAGAGCAGGAAACAGCCUUGAGUCUUGGGAGACUUCUGGGCUUUGCGCUUGGCACUGACUCCUCCACAGAAGCAAGGGGUGCAUCUGGCUGUUAGAAGAAUUAAUGGGCAUCCAGUGCCUUGAUUUUCCCACUGAGAAAAAUGAGGAGGCUGCGAUAUACCUGUGGACAGGAUCAGUAGCUUCACUUCUCAGCUCAGAACUUGCCAUGUCUCUUUCCGGCUCGGGAAGUAUGAUGCUCCGCACAGACAGGCAUCUACGUGCGAGAAAGUUAAUGGCGCAGAAUGCUGCUGACUGCAUGGUUCUCGUCUUAAUACAUUUUCCAACCUUGAACCUGAGAAUGCCAGAGGCUCAAGUCUCUGAACGCUCGUCUGAGCCGUUAUCUGCUGGUGGCCUGGUUCCUGACCUAACAAGUGGGUGUCCCAGGCGUGCGUGUGGUAAUAGCAGCAGUGGUGCCACGUGGCGCCCAGAGGUCGCCUUGGUCUGCCCUGGAGAUUCCUGGUCCUUGGUGAAGCUUCUGAGUUGAACUGUGAACUUGGGGCAUCCUGAGAAGCACAGGCAUUUUGGAGUUCCACAGCAAACCUGGAUGUUAAGUGUAAAAACAGCUUAUAAAGUGAAAGCAGGGGCCUUGAGGAAGGGAACCCUCAUCUCGAUCCGGACCUGCUUACUGUGCUGGAAAACAAAGUAAGUUUUGUUUGUUUUUAGUCAGUCUCUCCUACAUGUUUUUCUUGCUAACAUUAUUAAACACUCAGUAUCUGGCAAAUGCCAAGGUUUUUUUUUUUUUUUCCUUUUCAUCGGAAAGUAGGAGAUGAAGUUUGUUAAAUAGCUGAUUGCUUCUUUUAUCUUUUCUGUCUCUCUUCCUGUAUCUAGCUGCUGGCUGGCUUGUUAAGAGGUAAAAAGAGACUGAAAUUUAUCAUCAGUGAGAAAACAAAAAGUUCUCUUUUUUUCUCUUUUUAAAUGGUUCAAGAACUUUGCCAUUAAUUAAAUGACGGUGGGUGACACAGACAAGGCUUUUUAUGAGCUGCAGCCAGGAGCAUAUCUAGCAAAACAGCCCCAGUUCACUGCCCUUAUUUCCAUUGGGAAGCAGGAAGGGUGCGUGUACAAGACAGGUAUGAGGACGGGGGUGUCUGCACGUGGGAACUGCAGACACUAGGUGGGAAUGGCUGUUGGAUAAAAGGCUGUAAUUUUAAAGCCUGUCAGGAAAUGGAAAGGACCUGAAGAAUACAAGUUAUUUAAUGAUGUUGGGAAAAUAAAUUAAUAUAAAAAUGGGAUAAAAUGUCUAAAGUCCUAACCGAAUUUUUCCUUCAUGUUAGAAAGUUUCGUGCCUUGUAGAUUUAUAGAAAAUAUGUUUAAUAACUUUAAAAAAUAAUAAUUAAGAGGCUUCAUCUCCUACACAGAAGAUUCUGUGACAUCAGCCUGAUUCUGACACUUGGCCCAUCUUACAUUUUUGUUUGUUUGUUUUUUAUGCUGAUCCUGUCUCCAAAGAUGUUACAUGGCUUGAUAAAUUUUUAAUACAAAGUUCUGUGGUUUUGAAAAUGCAAAACGAAUAGAAAUGCA